rnacentral:rRNA from 1 species
AGUGAACGCUGGCGGUAGGCCUAACACAUGCAAGUCGAACGGCAGCACAGUAAGAGCUUGCUCUUACGGGUGGCGAGUGGCGGACGGGUGAGGAAUACAUCGGAAUCUACUUUUUCGUGGGGGAUAACGUAGGGAAACUUACGCUAAUACCGCAUACGACCUACGGGUGAAAGCAGGGGAUCUUCGGACCUUGCGCGAUUGAAUGAGCCGAUGUCGGAUUAGCUAGUUGGCGGGGUAAAGGCCCACCAAGGCGACGAUCCGUAGCUGGUCUGAGAGGAUGAUCAGCCACACUGGAACUGAGACACGGUCCAGGCUCCUACGGGAGGCAGCAGUGGGGAAUAUUGGACAAUGGGCGCAAGCCUGAUCCAGCCAUACCGCGUGGGUGAAGAAGGCCUUCGGGUUGUAAAGCCCUUUUGUUUGGAAAGAAAAGCAGCAGGUUAAUACCCCGCUGUUCUGACGGUACCCAAAGAAUAAGCACCGGCUAACUUCGUG